rnacentral:rRNA from 1 species
UACGAAGGGGGCUAGCGUUGCUCGGAAUCACUGGGCGUAAAGCGCACGUAGGCGGCUUUCUAAGUCGGGGGUGAAAUCCUGGAGCUCAACUCCAGAACUGCCUUCGAUACUGGAGAGCUCGAGUCCGGGAGAGGUGAGUGGAACUGCGAGUGUAGAGGUGAAAUUCGUAGAUAUUUGCAAGAACACCAGUGGCGAAGGCGGCUCACUGGCCCGGUACUGACGCUGAGGUGCGAAAGCGUGGGGAGCAAACAGG